rnacentral:lncRNA from 12 species
UAUGCUCUCAUAAAUCAUUAAUCACAUAUAUAAUACACUAUACUGUAAUACUUAGUAAUUUAUACCUAAUCAUGGCUAUUAUACUGUAAAAAAAAAAUGCUGUAAAAAAAAAAAAAAAACAGUUAAAUUCAGGAAGUAAAAUAUGUUUUUCAUAAUAAACUAUAUAUUCUGGGCAGUGUUUAGUGAUCAGUAUGACCACUAAGUUGCACAUAUAUUUGGUUAAAGAAAAUAAUGCUUUUGUUUAUUUGAAUGAAACCAUGGCCUCUAUGGAUUCAUAAAAUGCAGGCUGGUAGCUACCAUCACUUGAAAGUCAAAAAAAGCAUAUACAUGCAACACAAAAUUACCUGUUGAACAUUAUUUACAACAUUAUUACAUGUAGCCUCGGGCAAACGGUCCUGAGUGAUGUCCGGUUUGAAAACAAAUUAUUCUUUUGAACUGGUUCUUUGUAGUUUAACUGGAUGAACCAGUUCACCAAAUCAGACUAAAGGAUUCUCUAACAGUUUGCGGCUUGAGCUUGAGACUCGAAAUGAGCCAAUAUAGUGCCAGCGUAUUAUGAUUGCAUGAUGAUGGACUUUGCCAUCUCAUUCAGCACUCCAGUUCCUCCAACAUUACACUGAGGGAACAGUUCGGACUCAGACCAAAGAACCGAUGAGCUGCAGAUAUGAGCUAGAGUGAACCAAGCACUUGAAUAAAGUGGUGAAAUGAACGUUUUUAUGGUUCAAGUAAAAAGGUUGCAGCGACCGAUAUCUGUGUGUUUUCCGCUCCAUCCCUCCGGACUGUUUCUCCAUGCCCGUGCCGCAGCUCAGAUGGGGGCAGACUUAAGUGCAGCAGCGGUUGUCUGGCACGUUAACGCGCGCGGCAGGUCUCUCUGGCGGGCCAUCCCGAACACGGGAUGCUGAACGGGAGCCGCGAGGGUUUGUUUGAACUGGGCAGGCAGCUCCAGCAGGAAGGAGACUCACAAGCUGCUCUGCACUGCUUUUUGAGCUGCCUGCUGGGACUCACACAUGUGCAGAGCUUCCACUCGCUUCCCAACUGCCUGCAUCAGAUCGCUGAACUCUACAUUGAUGACAAGAACUAUGGGAAAGCUCUGCAGUUUAUUCAGGCGGAGAAGAUGUUUUACGAAGUGGCAUUGAUCGAGCUCACCUCGCUGCAGGCCAGCACAGGGUCUCAGGAAGACGGACCAUUGGGAACGUCAGGAUGUCUGUCUCAAGAGGAGUUAUCAGAACAGGCUACACAGGCCCAGGAUCUUGAGAGACUGGCUCAGCUCUGCAUCAUGAGCAAAAGACCUCACCUUGCUUUAGAAUACAGUGGCAAGGCCACUAAAAUCCACCAGAGGGCUUUUGGUAACGAUCACCCUAUCACAGCCCGGAGUCUGGAGCUGCUAGCCACUGUCUAUGCAGAGAUCGGCAAAACAGAAUAUACAAAUUCAUUGGGAGAGUGUGUGUCGACUCUUUCCAAAAGGUUCUCAGCCACCGAGUCAUUCAGUGACGCUCUGAGUAGCAUCUCUCAUAGCCAUAAGGACAGACACUCUGAGCUGCGACACAGAAAAGAGCCAUACAUACAACAGGAAACUCCUAAAACAAAGGUCAUAAAUGAAAAACUGCCCACCUCUAUUCUGAAAAGGUCCAACAUGAGUAAUGUGGAGUCAGACUCAUUGCGCAAGCGAAAAACCGAGAGGCGGGUUCGCUUCAGAGAGCCGGAGAUCACUGUUCAUGACAUUCCAUACUAUGACUGUUUAGGAGUCUAUGACACUCCCCAGAGCCGUUUGCACCUGACCCUGCUCACCUGCCUGUUCCUGCUUCUGUCUGCGCUGGGUCUGGCACUGUACUGCACGGACCGCCGAAGACCCCAGCGUGCCUGCGAAGAGCUGCAGACAGCACUGGCUGUGUACCUGCUUCAGUUCAAACAGAUCGUCUGGGCCUGCUGGAUCUGGCUGACCAUGCAAUGACCAUAACUGACCACACGGGGCAGCAACAGUCAGGGAAAAAAAAAACAAAAAAAAACAUAAAAGGUCAGGAUGUUUUUUGAAGGACUGUGGAGGAAAUUGAAGAUAAAGAAUGGUCUUCUUGUUUUUUAUUGCUUUAUUUUCACUGUUAUAAUCAGACUGGCCACCAGUCAAAUUUUCUGAGGAUGUUCAACAUCCACCUCUUUUAUUUUGUGGCUGAUUAAAGGCCAUGUGCUUUACACACCAUUAAGGUAUGGUGUGCCUUUUUGCCCUUUAUGGUGGCAUAGCUAAUGCCACAUCCUCAUUAUACUGAGCCGUGUAUAUUUAGAUCUCUGUAUGUAGCUGUUUUUCCUCGUAUAGCGGUUCUGGAUGAUAUGUUUUAAAGGAAUAGUUCACCAAAAAUGAAAAUUUGCUGAACAUUUACUCAUCCUCAGGCCAUCCGAUAUGUAGAUGAGUUUGUUUCUAUAUCGGAACAGAUUUGUAGAAAUUUAGCAUUACAUCACUUGCUCACCAGUGGAUCCUCUGUAGUAAAUGGGUGCCAUCAGAUUAUCAGACCCAAAAUCAGUCUGGCUUUACAGAUUGUGCACACUGUAUUCUCUAUGAACCAAUGUAUCACAUUUUAAUGUCCAAAACUACUUCAUUUAUUCAAUGCUUUUAUUUUUAAUGCACUUGCUGUACAUAAUGUGGUUGAAUGUAUCUGUGGAAUGCAAGACAAUGCUAUUUAUUUAACUAAUAAUCAAAUAGGUUUAGAAUACAAAUAUGCGUUUUAUGCAUUAAUCAAACAUGUAAAUGACACUAAUUAUUGUAUAGAAUGUAUUUCAAUGUAAAUGAGAAAAGAGAACUGGCACAAUUGACGACACCUUUAGCAUUUAUCUACUUUACAAGAAACGAAGGGCAAAGCUGUUCUGUUAAGCACAAACAUUUCCAUCUGCCAUUAAUUCUCUCAGAAAGAGAUAUAAGACUGUUGAAGGAUGAAUUGGCCAUAUAUUGUGUCAUGCACUGCUAGAUUCAACUGGCAAAUGAAAGAAUGCCAUUUUAAAUAGCUGAACGCUUUAUGAUACUCGCACUAUUUAAGUUUCUAUUUUACAUAAACCUGUACCAGCAUCUUGGCUUAAGCCUAAUAAUGGUGCAUUCGUUUGUUUUACUAUGUUUUAUAAGAAUUUUCUUUUUCUAUCUUUUUUUACUGUUCCACUCAAGUUUUACAUGUUUAGUCUCUUAAUCUUUCUUUAUAGAAACAGCUGUUCAGUAUCUAUUUUUCUAGUUUUUGGGCAAGCAUUUUCUAUCACAUUCUAUGAGCCUUUGGUUUCUAGUGUCAAAAUUGCUUAUUUUCCAUUAGCACACAAGUUAACAAUGAAUUGAAUUAAAGACAGUACACCCAAAAUUGAAAACUCUGUCAUCCUAAAGAGAUAUUAUAUACACACACACAAACACACACAACAGUUCAAAAGUUUGGGGUCAGUAAGAUUUUUUUUCUGAAAGAAAUUAAUAUUUUUAUUCAACACAGAUGCAUCAAAUUGAUCAAAUGGGACAGUAAAGAUAUUUAUAAUGUUACAGCAGACUUCUAUUUUAAAUUAAUGCUGUUCUUUUGAACUUUAUUCAAUAUCCAGAAGAACAAAAAUUAUAUAUAUAUACUACUUAUAUAUAUAUAUAUAUUAUAUAUAUAUAUAUAUAUAUAUAUAUAUAUAUAUAUAUAUAUAUAUAUAUAUAUAUAUAUAUA